GUACCAGCUGUCACUCGUGCCAUGCAGGUGGAUGGUGGCUGCAGGGAGGGGGUGUCAGCGUGCUGAGAGACCCAGGCCGGACCCAUCACCGUCCCUGGGACCCCUGCUCCGGCCCUACCUGUGAAGAGGGCUUGCUGCCGUGUGACUCUGGGCAGACUCUGUCCCCUCUUCGUGACCCACAUCACGAGGCCUCUGAGCUGAGUCUCCACGGGAGAAUACACUGCGGCCGUGGGGCAAGAACAGGUUGGAUGCCUGCACCCCAGGUCCCCUCUCCGUGAAAUGGGACCCACAGCAGAGUGUGCUUACUUUCUCCGCGAUCACCCGCACGGUGUCCAGUUUGAUGAUCUUGGAUGGGCUGUCAAUCCUCAGCACUCUCUCUGUGGGGGCAGAGGCGCUCGGCAGCUUCAGCAGCGUGGUCCCUCAGCCCCGCAAGUUCACGUCUGCCCCCCUCCCCGGCUCAGGAGCCCACCGCGGCUCCCCACUGCUUUGGGAGGAAUCCUAAGAGCAGCAACCAGCAGCAGUGCCUGUUGGACUUGUCCCCAACACUGCUAUUCUGUCCCCUCCUGACCUCAGCCCUUACCUCCUGAGGAGGGCCAGCUGUUCCUGGCCCACCUGGAAGAUGGGGAAACAGCCUCAGGGACAUAAAGUCACUAGCUCAGGGUCACGCAGCCAACAGGUGGCAAGGUCAAGAGCCCGAUGCAGAGCCUGUGCGCCAGACACUCGCUCUCCCAGGCUUGGUCCCAACUCCCAGCCUUUCGCUGGCUGUGACCCAAAACCUCCUUUUAAGUGCACAGCUCAGCGACAUCAAGCACAUGCACAUCGCUGAGCCACCGUCCCCACUGUCCGUCUCCAGAACUUUCUCAUCUUCCUAAACUGGCACUCUGUCCCAAUCAAACACUCACUCCCUUCCCCUCCCCCAGCCCCUGGCUCCACCACCUACUUCCUGUCUCUGUGAAUCUCUUAGGGACCCCAUAUAAGUGGAAUCAGACACCACUUGUCCUGUGUCUGGCUUCCUUCGCUGAGUGUAACGUCCCCCAGGUUCAUCCACAUUGUAGCAGGUGUCAGAAUUUCCUUCCUUUUCAUGGCUGAGUAAUAUUCCAUUGUCUGGGUGGACCACAUUGUGCUUACCCAGCCACACAUCCAUGGCUAUUGUGAAGAAUGCUGCUGUGAACCUUUAUGUUCAAGCUGCAGCUUUUAAUUAUUCUUUUCACAUGUCACAAAAAAAAUUGCUUUUAACUUCUUUUCAACCAUUUAAAGUAUGUCAAUACCGUUCUUAGCAGGCUGUAUAAAAAAUAGCCAGUGGGCCAGACUUGGCCUGGGAGCUGUAAUUUGCCGACCCCUAAUCUAGUUUAUUUCUGUAGUUGUUAAUUUUUGGCCUCCUGGGAGUACCCUGCGUAUUUUGUUCGAUGCUGUGUCCAUAGCUCAAAUCUUGAACAAAUGAAAGAACAGCUGUGCAUCGGCUCAUUUGGCAGUGGCUGCGUGGCGAACAUCAUUAAGGACUCUGAGGCUCCAUCCAGCCCGAGUGUCACGCCUAUCAGGACUGGAAGGGCUGCUGGUGGCUCAUGUUCUAACUCUUACCCCAAACAACGUCAUUAGCAGCCUGCGCAAGCUGCCUCCACCCCAGGGGCUGGACAAGAGUUGGGAAACGAUCUACCAAUGAUUUGCCAAGAGUUGGGAAACGAUCUACCAAUGAUUUGCCAAGGGACCUGGUUUCUCACCUGCGAUUUCGAACUCGUCAGGCAUCUCGACAGUCAACUUCUGCAUAGCGAUGUCCGCCACGGGUCCCAAGAUCACCACUGGGCGCUUGAAAUUGGCUGAGGGGGCCAAGAAACAAUGACAAGAAAGAAUCAGGAUCCCGUUGGAGGUGAAGACCGUUAGGUCCUUGCACAACCACUCUCUACUUCCUCUGGAGUGGUAGUGUAUCUAGCCAGGCCCAUGGCUGCCCAGCUAAAAACUACAUCUCCCAGCCUCCCUUGCAGCUAGGAUGGCCAUGUGACUAAGUUCUGGCCAAUGGGGUGCAAGCAGAACGAAGAGUGCAAUUGUAUCCUUCGAGGAAAGGGGUGAGCCCUCUCCGCCCUCUUUCUCCUUCCUGCUGGCUGGAAUGUGGGCUUGGGUGUGCCAUGUUGGACUACACAACCAGGCAGAAACACAAAACAAGGAGCCUGGGUCCCUGAAGCUGAAGCAGCCAAACCAUACUCAGCUGCUUACACUGGGGCGGUUACUUGAAAAAGAAACUUAUUUUUUUUUAAAUGCAGCUGUCACUUGGUAUUUCUGUCAUAGCAGCUGAACCUAGUUAACUCAGUGGUCAGCAAACUACGACUCAAGGGCCACAUCCAGCCCACUGCUUGUUUUUUUUGUUUUUCCUUUUGUUUUCAGCAGAAAAGGAUAGCUUUAUUGGACGAGAAAGUAAAGUGACGCUACACUUCCAGAUGUGGAAGCAGGCCCAGCAGAAGGGUGGCUCAAGGGCUCCCCGCUGCUUAUUUAUGCAAAUAAAGUUUGCUUGGCGCAGUCAA